rnacentral:lncRNA from 1 species
GGGUGGGUUGGGCAGGUGGGUCAGGGGAGGUUUUGUCUUGCUGGGAGCUAGUUGUAGGGGAAGGCGUAGGAAGAGAAGGUUUUGCUGAUGAGGAAUUGCAAUAGAGGUCAGUAAGUAAUCUGGUCCGAACAGGUGCAGAGUCGUUAAUGCUAAAAGGGCUUGGAGUGGGAUCGGUCAUAGGAGAAGGUGUUGAGGCAGAUCGAGAAAAGGGAGAUGCAGCCGAUGAUGAGUUGGACAGACGAUGCAAAGGAGAAUGUGGAAUCGCUGGAGGAACGGAUGGUAGUGGGGUGGCCUCUUGUAGAGGUUGAAGUAAUGUAACGCCCCAAGGUGGGGAAGAGGG